rnacentral:rRNA from 1 species
AUGCAUCGCCAGGUUUACACCAGGACAAUGUUUGAGAAAUUUGGUGAAGCAUUGUACGAGUGUGGGUCAUAUGAUCUAAUAGAAGUCGAACCCCGAUUGGAGUACAUUGCUAGGCACAUAAAAUUCCAGUCAGGGGAAAAGUGGUGCAAGAAUGAGUUUGUCAUCUCAGUGAGUGAGCCAGCCGAUGAGUUCAUUAGCGAGUGUGGAACGUUUGAGCACUAUGGGAUGGUUUGCAGCCAUGUGCUUAAGGUCAUGAUACACCUAAAACUGUAUGAGCUCCCGCCAAAACAUGUGCUCAAGCGGUGGACUAGAGAUGCAAGAGAUAUACUGCCACCGGAGUAUUUGCGCUACCAGAAGGACCAUGGGCCCCUGAAGUAUUCUUCUCGUCGGCACAACACCUUAUACUUGUUGGCACUGGAUGUGGUUAAAUUAGGUAACAACAAUGUGGAAGCACAUGCACUUGCAAUGGAGAAAAUGCGAGAUGUCAAAGUGCUGCUCGAGCCAGUUGCCGCCGUGCGGGAUAGGCUUGGUUUGUCUGAUAGAGAGUUGGCUGCAGAUUCAGGCGGCUCUGGUGUUGGGAACAAGCAGCAUUUUGGGAGAGCUGAGUCUGAGCACACCAUCUCACAAGGAUUGGAUUUGUUUCCAGCAUCGUGCAAGAAACGACCCGCUGGGCGUCCAACAACGAGCCGCGACAAGGCUCCAUAUGAACAACCAUCAAAGAGGAGCAGAUUAUGUUCUAUAUGCAGAAUUCAGGGGCACAAGAGCACAACAUGCCCUGCCAGAGGGGAUGUGCCAAAGGCACCUAGGAAAUCGCCUCGCUGCUCAAAAUGUCGGUUGACAUGUCACAGGAAGAACAGAUGCAGCAACCCGCCUAAGGUCUGA